UGUUUGCGACCACCUUAUGAAGCAAUUUGGUGCUGGACAUCUCGAUAAGAUUCUCGUUCCCUGGUAGAUAAGUAAGAAUUGACUGUGUGUGGAGGGCGUGCCCCUAGUUGGCCGAGUAGUGGAGGCAGCCCGUCCCAGGGCUAAACAACACCACCACCCUUCGCCACCAUGUCGGCCGGAAAUGCGGGGAUGGAGUCCCUCAUCCCCAUUGUCAACAAGCUGCAGGAUGCCUUUACCCAGCUGGGCGUCUCCAUGUCACUGGACCUUCCCCAAAUUGCCGUCGUGGGAGGUCAAUCCGCCGGAAAGUCAUCCGUGCUAGAAAAUUUUGUUGGCCGCGAUUUCCUCCCUCGCGGGAAUGGAAUCGUCACCCGGCGGCCCCUUAUCCUCCAACUGAUCAACUCACCGAUGGAGUAUGGCGAAUUUUUGCACGCCAAGGGGAAAAAAUUUGGAGAUUUUGACGAAAUUCGGCGUGAAAUUGAGGCAGAAACUGACCGUGCAACGGGGUCGAAUAAAGGAAUUUCUAACGUGCCCAUUAACCUGCGUGUCUAUUCACCGCACGUCCUCAACAUAACACUUAUCGAUCUACCAGGAUUGACUCGUGUUCCCAUCGGUGAUCAGCCGGCCGACAUUGAGCAGCAAAUUAAGGAUAUGAUAAUGCAAUUCAUCUGUAAAGAGACGUGUCUCAUCUUGGCCGUGACUCCAGGAAAUUCUGACCUCGCGACAUCUGACGCUCUAAUGAUGGCAAAACAAGUUGACCCCGACGGUCUCCGAACCAUCGGUGUCCUCACCAAACUCGACCUCCUCGAUCAGGGAACCGAUGCGAGAGAAACAUUGGAGAACAAGGUCGUCCCACUGCGUCGCGGUUAUGUCGGGGUUAUCAACCGGUCACAAAAGGAUAUCGAGGGAAAGAAAGACAUCAAAGCGGCGUUGGACGCUGAGCGCAAGUUUUUCCUGAGCCACCCCUCCUACCGUCACAUGGCGGACCGGCUGGGGACGCCGUACCUGCAAAAGACGUUGAACCAGCAGUUGACGAACCACAUUCGCGACUGCCUCCCCGCCUUACGCGAUAAGAUGCAGAAACAGAUGCUCUGUCUUGAGAAGGAGGUCGAACAGUAUAAAUAUUUCAGGCCAGACGACCCCGCCAUCAAGACCAAGGCCAUGCUACAAAUGAUCCAACAGCUUCAGUCGGACUUUGAGAGGACGAUCGAAGGUUCAGGGUCGGCCUUGGUGAACACAAACGAGCUGUCGGGGGGAGCCAAGAUCAAUCGCCUCUUCCACGAGCGCUUUCCCUUCGAACUAGUCAAGAUGGAGUUUGACGAGAAGGAGUUGCGACGCGAGAUUGCGUUCGCCAUCCGUAACAUUCACGGCAUCCGAGUCGGCCUCUUCACCCCGGACAUGGCUUUUGAAGCCAUCGUUAAAAAACAGAUCAACCGACUCAAGGAGCCCUGUCUCAAGGCUGUCGACCUCGUCAUCGCCGAACUCUCAAACGUCGUCCGACUCUGUGCUGACAAGAUGAACCGCUACCCCCGCCUGCGCGAGGAGACUGAGAGGAUCAUUGCAAACUUUGUGCGUGAAAAGGAACAACUCUGUAAGAACCAGGUUCUUAUGAUGAUCGAUUGUGAGCUGGCCUACAUGAACACGAACCACGAAGACUUUAUCGGAUUCGCCAAUUAUUACCGUUACAAAGAGGCAGGAUGCACUUCGUCGGGUAGUCUUGUGGUUGGAGAAUGCCCACUUGUUGGUGGGGCCGAUAGUGCACAGAACGUGACGGAGAAUGCGACACGGACAAAGAAGUUGGGCAACCAGGUGAUCCGCAAGGGCUACAUGUGCAUCCACAACUUGGGGAUAAUGAAGGGAGGGUCGAAGGACUACUGGUUCGUCCUUGCGUCCGAGUCCCUGUCUUGGUUCAAGGAUGAGGAGGAACGUGACAAAAAGUAUAUGCUCCCACUCGACGGGCUCAAAAUUAGGGAUAUCGAGUCUGGAUUUAUGUCGAGGAGACACACUUUCGCCCUCUUCAAUCCAGAGGGACGCAACGUCUACAAGGACUUUAAGACGUUGGAGCUCUCGACGGAAACUCAGGACGAUGUGGAUUCCUGGAAGGCGUCGUUUUUGAGAGCGGGUGUCUAUCCCGAGAAGCAGUCAGAUUCCACGGCAAACGGGGAUGAUAGCAGUGUUGAUCAGGGAAUGUCCUCCCUCGACCCGCAGCUUGAGCGUCAAGUCGAGACGAUCCGAAAUCUGGUCGAUUCUUACAUGAAGAUUGUGACAAAGACGACGAGAGAUCUCGUUCCUAAAACUGUCAUGUAUCUGAUUAUUAAUUCAUGCAAGGAUUUCAUCAACGGAGAACUCUUGGCGCAUCUGUACGCUACGGGAGAUCAGAAUUCCAUGAUGGAGGAGAGUGCCGAGGAGGCGAUGAAACGGGAGGAGACGCUUCGCAUGUACCACGCUUGCAAAGAAGCUGUCCGCAUCAUUGGCGAUGUCUCAAUGGCGACAGUGUCAACUCCACUGCCUCCCCCGGUUCGUGGGGGUGGUGGUGGUGGAGGGAUGAGCAUGGGAAUGAGCUCUGACUACUCUGGCGGUGGGGUCAAUGCCAGCUAUUUGGGCUAUAAUGAAGUUCCCAGCAGGGACAGAAACUAUAAUUUUGACCAGCUCCGGUCCACCUCCGUGUCGAAUGGUCACCACCAACGCCACACGAACUCCUCCUCUCCCACCACCAUCAUGCUGAGUGGUGGCGGUGGACAGCAGUCAGUCUCUGAAUUCGAGAUAGGUCUGACGCGAUUGGAUAACUCAAUGCGAUCUGUUUUUCAAUCCGAAAGGCCCAGCCCGCCCAGUCCUGGAGGAGGCGGAGCUCGUCGCGGACCCACCGGUCCACUCCCACCUGCCGCUGCUGCUGCUCCAAUGGGUGGAAAUCGUGGGCCACCUCCCAUGCCCAACAACCCCGGAGCACGACCUGCACCUGCCGUUCCUAACAGACCCGGCGGUGGAGCUCCUCCAGCACCCAUGCCCAAAGGGGGUCUUCCUCCACCACUCAUUCCUUCUCCAAAGAAGAAGUAGACAUGUACUUAUUUAAAUUCGUCAAUGAAUUAAUGAAUUAUUUCCCACGUUAAGAAAACUUAAUUCUGCGACAAAACUCACCCCCACGACGUGCACCCAACUUAAUUAUCUCUCUAAUUCCACGACACUCAAUUCAAAAUUGCAACGAAAUUCAGCAACGUGUAAAAUUAACUAACUAAAUAAUUAGGCAGAAAUUAUAUCUGACUCUGUGACUAACUUAACUAGAAAAAAACAUGGAACUAAUUUAGUUGUUCUUCAAUCUGUAACUUUUAAAAUUAUUAAUAAUAAUCAAACUGUUUAGUUAGUUAAUUUAAAAUCGGGCAAAUAUUCGUGUCGCGUCAAAAAGUAGAAGCAGGCAAGUCAGUAGGGAAGAAUUAUUAUUUUCAUUGCAACAAUUAGUUGAUGACUUGGUAAUAUUCAAUCCAAUCUGGACAUUGGAUCGUCGCCGAUGAUGAUAUAUCAUUCAUUUUAAGGAAGCGUACAGAAAGUUGGGUAUAUUAUAGUUAGUUAAUUUAGUUGUACAGCUUUUAAUCAGCAUAAAUUAUAGUUAGAUAAGUUAGGUCAUGACAAAGCAAAUCGGCACUAAUAGCACUUAACUAAAAUUCACUCUAUGAUUUGACAGAAUAAAUAGGGCUUCCACUUCUCGCACCAGUUUCUUGACUAAUUAUUCUAAACUUGAGCAUUUAUGUAACUUGCUGCUUUUUGUAUACGAGUAAUUCUUUACAUUCCAGUUUUAUUAGUUAUUUAGACAUUUAAAUACUUAUGCAUGGUCAGGUUUGUCUUCAUCAUCAAUUACAAAUAGGUACAAAAUGGCCUGCUAUUUAUUUAUGACAUAUGCUCAGUUUAGUUUAGUUAGCUAAUUAUGUAUGUAAUUGUGCACGACAAUUUACUAAAUUCGUCGUCUUCUCUGCCUCACCCACAAUUUUUGUGUCUUUCCACAUUUUGUUAAUAUUAAACAUGUAUUUAGCACAGUGAUCUGUUAUUACUCUUUAAUUGUACAAAUAGUAGGGUAAAAAGUUGGGCGAGUUUUAUUUUACCGUAACCAGAUUUUAGGACGUAUGUAUAAUUUAGGAUAAAAAUAGAUAGUUAAAUCGAAAUACAUAGAAGAUGAUUCUCUGGCAGAAAGGAACGCAUUGCAUCAAUCAAAACAAAAUGAACUAGAUCCGUAGUCAGAAAAUAACUACAUAAUUAAUUAACUAAUUAAUUAGAUAAUCUCAAUCCCAGAGGAAGGAAAUACAUGACUAAAUAAAUAACUAAUUGUCCUCUCUCCUGCCCUUAAAGAUUAAGAAAAAGUAUAAAACUACUGAUUUAGCCCGUGAAGCCAGAGAUUGUAUAAUUGUUGAGAAGAGAAAGCAUUCAUAGAGAGAAAUACUAUAAUUAAUUAUAACUAUAAAUAAAUAAAUAUUGAUGACGAUCAUCAUCACGUCGUAGUAAAUACGAAGAAGUAAAUUAGUGUACCCUCAAAAAAUAAUACCUUAAAGAUUAUUUACAAAAUGUCGAUAUAAAUUACGCCCCCAGAGGAAGACGAAAAUGAAAUAAAUUAUUAUAUGAAAUAACUAUUGAUUUCUGAAAGAAAAAAUACUAAUAUUUGAUCAUUAAUCCGUUUCAUACCUUAAUUUUAAUUUAAUUCGAGUUGAUUGACAACUUUAACAGUUUUGAUUUCCAAGUUAUGCAGAGUGCAUAAUUUAAUUUCUAAAAUUUUCUCAAUCUAAUCCUUUCAUCUAAUAAAAUUACAUACAAACGAAAUUGACCGUCUAAUUAAUUACUGCUUAAAUUGCUUUGCUCUUUUUCUCCUCUGCUUUCACUUGACGCACUUUUAUCAUUCCACCCGGGUAAACACUGGUGGUCCCCUGAACGCCCCCAGGAUACCGGAACGACCCCAACAGGGCAGACCCCAGUACUAAUUAUUAAGAAACACUUCACUACCAGUAAUAAUCAAGCAAGCAAUCAAUCAAUCAGCAAACCAGAUCAAGAACAAGAGGAUCCAUACAUACGUUUAUUUAUGCCUCCAAUUAACUAACUAUAACACUCCUGGACACUACAAUUUGUAUUUUACCCAUUUUUUGCUUUAAAAAGAUGUAUUUAUGUACCAAUUUUACGCUACGUAAUUACCUAUGUAUUAAUUAAUCCGUGAUGUCGUUGUUCAACGCGUGCUCUGAGCUGUAUGUAUUUUUAUCAAAUAAUUUAGGAAUUUACACAAUUUUGUUGUUGCUUAUUCUACUCUUUUUUAGUUAACUGUUUACAUUUCUAUAUUUCCAAUAAGUCCUCUGUUUAGAAUAUGUACGUAAAAUGUCUCUGUCAUGCAAAACCAAAAUAAUAAUGACCAACCAUUUUAAUACUGUCAUAAAACCGUUAUUAUUAAUUUGUAUUUGUAAAGAAA